rnacentral:misc_RNA from 1 species
AAAGUUCAUAACUACAUAUUGGCUUUCCUGCAGACUGAUAAAAACGAAAACAUAUCAACUAUGAAACACAAAUGAAUUUACCAUUCAACAAAUAAGUUACGCGAAUAUAAUGCCAUAUGUUUAUCCCUCAGAUACCGUCAUUGCUUCUACUCAGGGUAAAGAAGUUCAUGACUCGUGGGCCUUUCUACCUCCAUGUGGCAUUGACUGGUUCAAGGUUAGUUGUGCGCUUUAGGAAAAGAUAGUAGAGAACCAAGAGAAAUUCCGGUAGUUUAAUAAGGGACAUUAGAACAUUCCAGAAGAUGGUAACAUUUGUCUUUCGACUAGCAAUCACGGGCAAAGCUACCUCAGGCAAUAGCCCAGAACUUUUUCCUGCAAAAUAAGACCGGCUCCUUCUUCCUCUGAUGGUUCUCUAGAAACUGAAGUUCGACAUCCCAGAGAAACUUCGGAGCAAGAGCUUGUAUUCUUGAUACGAUGGGCUCUUCAUCUCUGAUAAUGAUAAAUCCCUGAGGUCGUAG